GGAAUAUUGGACAAUGGGGGCAACCCUGAUCCAGCGAUGCCGCGUGGGUGAAGAAGGCCUUCGGGUUGUAAAGCCCUUUAGGCUGGGAAGAAGGUUUGUGGAGGAAAUGCUGCAAACUUGACGGUACCAGCAGAAUAAGCACCGGCAAACUCUGUGCCAGCAGCCGCGGUAAUACAGAGGGUGCGAGCGUUAAUCGGAUUUACUGGGCGUAAAGGGCGCGUAGGCGGCCAAAUGAGUGUGAUGUGAAAGCCCCGGGCUUAACCUGGGAAGUGCAUCGCAAACGAUUUGGCUGGAGUACAUGAGAGGGUGGCGGAAUUUCCGGUGUAGCGGUGAAAUGCGUAGAGAUCGGAAGGAACGUCGAUGGCGAAGGCAGCCACCUGGCAUGAUACUGACGCUGAGGCGCGAAAGCGUGGGGAGCG
rnacentral:rRNA from 1 species